rnacentral:rRNA from 1 species
GACGAACGCUGGCGGCGUGCCUAAUACAUGCAAGUCGAACGCAGUGGGGACGGGUGAGUAACACGUGGGUAACCUCCCAUCAGAGGGGAUAACACUUGGAAAAAGGUGCUAAACCGAUACUGAUGGAUGGACCCGAUGUGCAUUAGCUAGUUGGUGAGGUAACGGCUCACCAAGGCCACGAUGCAUAGCCGAACUGAGAGUGUGCGCGCCCAAACUGGCACGGAGACACGGCCCAGACUCCUACGGGAGGCAGACGUAGGGAAUCUUCGGCAAGGGGCGAAAGUCUGACCGAGAAACGCCGCGUGAGUGAAGAAGGUUUUCGGAUCGUAAAACUCUGUUGUUAGGGAAGCGGUAUCUAACCAGAAAGCCACGGCUAACUACGUGCCAGCAGCCGCGGUAAUUC